UCUUAGGACCGUUUGCAUGCAUGACUGCUCUUCCUAUGUUUAUCAUCCCCAAGUGUUUCUUCUUCCUCCGUCGUUUCCAGGUUUUUCCUUUUGUCAACAUUCAGUCAGAAGCAGGGGGCGCAUCAGACGAGUGACAACCCCCAACCCGUCCCCCCAGUAAAAAAAGCAUAUCUUAUACCCUGGCUGUCAAUACACGGGCGAGGAAGAGACACCUGCUUUUGGAAGAUAUUGCCACAAUUUCAUCUCCACACGUCAAGAUCUUAGCGGCCCUGCAAAAAUCUCUAAUGAGGAAGCAUAGUGAAGGAGAGCGGGUGAUCAUGCGACGUGUGUCACAAGACAAGCGCUGUUGACAUUUUAGAAUAGACACACCUGUCGAUCAUGCACGUGCUAGCCACUCCAUGCAAGAUUCGUUUUAUUUUUUUGUUGUGUUGUUUGGUCUCGGAGGCGCUUUGAUUGAAGCUUCCAGUAUGCGGCGACCAAUGUUGGAGAAAUCCAAUGCAUACAGUAUGCUUACAGUGUGGGAUAUUAACACAAUCUAUAGUCUGGAGCUUGCAUUCUCUAUUUCCCUGGACGUAGCAUACAGUUCACAUUCUGUUGGUUUGCUAUUAGCAUUAUCCUUUUACCUCACAAUACAUGUAUUACACUGUAGAGCUACGCUCUCUGAAGACCAAUCAUAACAAAUAUAUGACACAAAAGUGUAAAUAAUUCAACAAUGGAACAAUGCAUGCAUGGGCUCUUCCUUGUGUCCUUGUGUUUUUAGAUCUGUGUUAAAUCACUGACAGGAUCCAUGAUUGACUACUAGGUAGGGGAGUGGUGUGUGUGUGUCAGAAACAGGAGAUUGAAUCAGAGGUGAAAUGUGUGUUUGUGUGGGUCUGUGAGGGAGAUUGAGGAGUUACGGUCUCCGUCACAAAGACGUAAUGCGAAGGGACGGCUGGUGUCAGAACAAAGGAAUCAAAAAUAAAAAGUCCAGCGUAGAUGUGCUCAUCGCUGUGCACUGAUGUGAAAACGAGCGCUCGCCGUGACACAGGCAAAAGGCUGUGAAAAGGAGACUGAGUCACUUUGCGUCAGCGCAAUGUCACCUCUGACGUCCAAACAAGAGGGAUGCUGACAUGCUCGACUGAGCCCUGCCGUUUGAUUCCCAGUCUCGGGGUAUCUUAUAAACAAAUAAACUGGCCUGUGGGUGACUUGAAUGCAAUUAAAAGGAAAGAUUUGUGUGUCAAAUCUGCUCUAA